CAGGGUUUCAACGCAAGUACGGAAAAGUAUGGAAUUUGAGUUGAUAAAUUUCCAAGUCUGGAAAAGUAUGGAAAAUGGAAACAAAUGUAUGGAAAAAUAGUCAUGUUUCCCAGACUGUUCCCACUGGUCUAUUUUCUAAAACAUAAAAAACAAAAAUGGAUGGAU